AUCUAUACACUUCUGUAUGGGAGAAUAGCCAAUUCAGAGUCUGGAAACCAGAAUUCUAGUCAUAGUUUUAUCUCUAACUAGUCAAGUGAUCCUAGGAAAGUUAUAUCACCUCUUUAGGGCAAGGCAACAUUUGGCCUGUAGCCUUCACCUCUGGAAACAAGUUCCCUUUCAUUACUCUUCACUGAGAGUCAAAAUGUGCAAGGGCCGGGAGCAGUGGCUCAUGCCUGUAAUCCCAGCACUUUGGGAGGCCGGGGCAGGCAGACCACCUGAGGUCAGGAGUUCAAGA
rnacentral:lncRNA from 1 species